CGACGUUCUACAUCGCGCGUGUUCUAUAGUCCUCGGUUUACAAUCGUCACUGUGUGUGUUGAAAAAUUUUUGUUAUAAAAAUUAAAUAACCGUUUUUUGAAAGACACAUGCCUCGUCGCGCAACAACAAUUAAAUAGCAAAACAAUUCAACUAUCAUAUCGUCCAGUGUGAAAAUUUCAAACACCUAAUGAAAUGCAUUGUUCAUCAAUACAAUUAUCGUAUUAUAAUCUCGUGACCCUCUGUCAGACGUUAUUCUUAUUCGUGCGCGCUCGGUAGGUCAAAAUGGCGUGAAAAUAGAGACAGAGAGAGAUUCUCUCCUAAAAUAUAUAUAUUGCAAUGAUAGUGUUGUUAAUACAUUGACAAGAUUUUUUUUUUGUUUUUUCUUUUUUGAGGUUAUAGUCUCCUCACACAUUCUUUUUCUCAAUGUGUUUUUUUGUUGUUGUGCGGUUGGUUCUCUAGUGGAUUGUGUGCUAGAAUCAAAAGAGAAAGAGAAGGAAAACGGAGGGAAAGAAAAAGUGUUUUUGUGUUUGUUUUCCUUUGGGGGGGAGGGCUGUUUUUUUUUUUGGUUUAUAUAUGUGAUUUAGUGCAUUUUUUUCGGGGCGUAUUGUUGCAUGAGUUAUGAGGACGGAAUGCCCGCAGGCGGUAACAGUCGUUUCCGUGGUUACCCAGCGCGGAUGUCCGAGCGCCAACAGCUCGCACUUCUUUUGCAAAUGACCUCUCAGGAUAUUGUUUCAGGUGGAAAUAGACCUGAUGGUACGGCAAGUACGCAAAGCAGUGGUUCAAAGUCAUCGCCAUUGCAACAGCAGAGGGGAUCUAAAAAUCGAUGGUCGAAUAAUAAAAAUGGAGAAUCACCGGCUGGGGGAAUUCAUCGUAAGGACGAUUUUCGAGUGCGACAAAUUGUCAAUGGCUAUGAAAGUAGCAAGGAAACGAGUGAUAUUACGGGGGCAAGUUCACCGGACGAAGCGACUACUACAACGGUCACGACUGCGGACAGCCCACGUUCUCCAUCGGAUAUUGCAGCGCUAUCCAACGAUCAGUCGGAGCAUUAUCAACAUUAUCAACAACGCUCCGCUGGCACUGCUGCUGUUCUCGUUGCAGAGGACAGUGGAGCCCCCUGUGAAAUGCGGAGAACACCACCGCAAAACAAAGUUGACAGAUUGGGAUCUGGUCAGACUGCUAACUCGCCGAGAGUGACUCUUCGUCUCAAUCAGGUGCGAAGCACGAGGGAUGAAAAGAAAAACACCUCCAAUUCCCGUCAGGGUAGUGUGAACGCACAGGGACAAAAUCAAAUGGAAUCCUCGAAGGGCUCCUCGGCCGUUCCUGCGAACAGUGGGAAUGCAAUAUCACCGAGUUCAAAUAGUGGUGGUACGUCAUCAUGGUCUGUCGACAAUAACGACGUUUAUGAGUUUAAAAGCUCGAAAGAGGCGACGCCGGUGAGGGGAGCGAGUACAUCGCCCAACCCUGAGAAGGAGAAGGACGCUAAAACAACAGCCAAUCAGGGUUCGGGUGGAAGUACAGUUGGCAGUGGUGGUGGUUCCGGUUCAAGUGCAACAUCAACGGGCGAGGCUUCAACAACAAUUGGCGGCAUCGACGAGGCUUCAAUGACAACGUCUCCAUCGUCGAAGCGUCCCUUCGAGGGCGACACUACCGACGAGCAAGACGACGAAAAUCGCAAAAAGAAACGCAAGGACGCCGAGAAUAGUAAGGAGAACGCGAAGGGGACCACUUCCGGUCGGCAGGGGGCUGGACGCAGUGGUGCCAACGCCAGCGAGAAGUGUACAAAAGCGGGUAAACAAAACAUUGGCGCGCAAUCCGGGAAGAAUAGUCAAAUUUCCGGUUCGACGAAUUUGGAUAGAAAGAGUCCGAGUGCAUCGAGUCCAAAGCCGUCGACUGGCGUGGCGACGAGCACAAAUCCAAAGACAACAACGACGCCAGCGCCACCCGAGUCGGAUAGCGAGGACGGCGAGAGAUCGAAAUCUGACUCGGCGCCAAAAGUGCCGCCUUUGAAAAUUGUCAUACCGCAAAGUACGACUUCGGAGCAGGAGCAGGGCACUCGUAACGGGAAGAAUACGUCGAAUCGAAGUCAUCAAUUACCGUACGUUGUUGCCAGUUCGAAUAGUAAUGAUUCGACGGAGAAGGAUCAAGGGCAAUCGGCCAGUGGUACGACGAGUCCAACCGAGAGUGGAACAACAUCAUCGAAGGUGGAGGAUAAGAAGGAUUUUAGUGGCGCACUACAUGGCGAGGAGAGAUCGACGCAUCAUCAGCGGGUCCUAAGGAGUUCUCAUCGUGGAAACGGCGGGAAUGGUUCAGCAAAUUCAAAAGAAUCAUCAUCGACAACAUCGAGUGGCAAUGGAAAUUAUUCAAAUUCAUCGCCACUGCCGAGUGCAUCAUCUGCUGCUGAUCGUUCAAAUAAUUCAUCGCCACAGCCGGCGAAUUCCGAAUCGGGCAAUAAUUCCGAGUCAAAUGGCAAAGCGAAUUCAACGGAAUCGACAACAACGUCAAAUACAAAGACAACGGCAAUGGAGAAGUCAGAGAAGAACAGUGAUAAUGUUAAAACACAAAAGGAUUGUGCCAAUGAAUCGUCGGAUAAUUCAUUGACAGUACAAUCAUCGACGACGUCGACGAAUGUCACGACAACAGCACCCGUUGAAUUGCAUCCGAGGAAGAGGAAAAUUAAGCCCAAUAAGGAAUCGCAACAGGCGUCGGUCACAGCGUCCAGUGAAACAUCAGAGGCGACGAGUUCGGGUCCCGAGGUCCAUCCACACGAUCAACCGAUCACUAAUUGUUAUCAAUUGUUCCUCAAUAUUAGAAAACAGAUUGAAAGCAGAAGAAAGGGUCUAUUUCCAGUUCAGCCGAAGCCACCGCAGGGCUUUAAGGAUUAUUUAAUGAAUCGUUGUACAUAUGUUUUGGCGGGUAAUCGUGAGACAAAACCAAAUGUUAAUAUACCAGCGGGACUGAUACAACCAAUGAAGGAUCUCUAUGUUGAUCAGGAGAAAUAUCGUUAUCGUUUAAGAAUGCAGCAUGUCGUUGAAAAGGAGAAACUAGUCUUAUCGGUGGAGCAGGAAAUUUUGAGGGUACAUGGAAGAGCGGCGCGUGCAUUGGCAAAUCAAUCGCUUCCAUUUUCUGUUUGUACAAUACUUAAGGACGAGGAGGUUUACAAUGUCAUAACACCCGAGCAAGAGGAAAAGGAUCGUAAUGCGCGCAGUCGUUACAAUGGACGAUUAUUUUUGAGUUGGUUGCAGGAUGUCGACGAUAAGUGGGAAAAAAUUAAGGAGGCAAUGUUAUUGAGACAUCACAAUGAAGCGGAAUCACUGCACGCGGUCCAGCGAAUGGACUGGGAAUGGAAAUUAAAGGAAGUUGGCCUUUGCGAAUUUAAGGCGACGCCACAAAUUGAAGAUCUUCACGUUCCAAUGGUCCACGUUGCCGAUGACUUUGACCUUCUACCAACAUAGUUUACCUAUCAGCAUAAGAAGAAUAAAAAGAAGACAAAGAAGACGAAGAAGAAGAUGAUGAGGCAGUAGAAGAAAAAAAGAAAAAAAAACUUGUACAAAAAUCCGCACUUACAAUAUUAGUCAAGAAACAAAAUACCCAUUAUUACCUUUUGUUUAUCUUCGAUCGAGUCGAGGGUAUAAUCUGUGAUCUCUUUAUCGAUAUAAGAACAAAAUUUUGUUCCAACAGUGACGCGAAUUAUUUCACUGUCUUUUCCAUAGUAAAAUUAGGUUUUUCCUAAGUGUUUGUUUUUUUUUGUCGAUUUUCAUCUCCAAGUCAUAUUCACACACACACACAUCUUGUACAUACUUUGUAACUAGCCAUUAAAAGAAAAGAGAAAAAAAAAACUUCAUGUGUAUAAAAAAGCAUCCCAGAGUGAAAUAAGGAGAAGAAUAGAGAGAAGAGAAAAGGAGAAA